GCUUUCGUGGUGUAGUGGUCAGCACGCUCGACGCGUAACCGAGAGGUCCGUGGUUCGAUUCCCGGCGAAGGUG
rfam:Stegodyphus mimosarum contig107051, whole genome shotgun sequence.